UAGUGAAUAGGUUCGCUUUGAAGGCGGUGUUAUAAAGUCGGCGUUUGGGAUCAAAGGCAAAGAAUAAAGAGCUGAAAAUAAUAAAAAGACGAAGGGUUGAUGCGACAGUGGUUACCUCGUCACCACAACGCGCCGUGCGCUGAAUACCGAGAGACCGACCGACUACCGAAUAUGUAGACAGACAUCCGGACUUGAGUGUUUGAACGAGUACUCGUCGGCUCUAACGCAAAGGCCCUCGUCGGCUGGUUGCUGGCGCUUUGUUGGGGCGACAUAUUGCUUCCGCUCGCCGCUGCGCCUAAACUCAUAUUAAAAAUUGACUCCCCGCCCGCCUCCGCCUGCCGCCCUCGCACGCAAAUUCGACUUUUUAAUGAGUUCCGCUUUGUAAGAUAAACAAAUUACCUUUAUGUCCGGACACUCAGCAUUUAUUUAGUUCGUGCAAAUUUGAAUUCCCUCGUUACAACGUCCUCACUGUGCGCGCCGCGACCGCUCUCUCACUGCAAUUUUAC